CUAAAGAUGGUACCAGAGAUUUUCCUCUUUGUUGCUACACUUUUACCUUUGGUAACCAUUUCUGCAAAAUAGUUGGAUCCAAACAAGUUGUCUUUGAAACAUUUUGACUAAAUUGUAUAGUGAGAAGACUUCUGCUUCCAGACAUGGUAAAGUGACAGGAACCAAAUCCUAAACAAGGCAUGAGAAAAAGACAAAGAGAGAAAUUUGACUUCAAGAAAGGAAAUAGCCUCCAAGGAAGAACAAAAAGAAACCAGUGCCUCUCCAAAGGCUGUCAGAGGCUAGAUUGCUAACCCUCAUUAGCAAGCAAGAGACCAGGUUAGUUUGAGAUAUUGUGGCUCUUAACGUAAUAAAUACUAAAAUUAUGUAAUAUUAUUAUUGAGACAUC
rnacentral:lncRNA from 1 species